AUCAACUUUCGAUGGUAGGAUAGAGGCCUACCAUGGUGGUAACGGGUAACGGGGUGUUAGGGCACGACACCGGAGAGGGAGCCUGAGAAACGGCUACCACAUCCAAGGAUGGCAGCAGGCGCGCAAAUUACCCAAUCCCGACACGGGGAGGUAGUGACAAUAAAUAACAAUACGGGGUUCUUUAGGAUCUCGUAAUUGGAAUGAGUACAAUUUAAAUCUCUUAACGAGGAACAAUUGGAGGGCAAGUCUGGUGCCAGCAGCCGCGGUAAUUCCAGCUCCAAUAGCGUAUAUUAAAGUUGUUGCAGUUAAAAAGCUCGUAGUUGAAUUUCGGGGUCAGUAGGUUGGUCAUGCCUCUGGUAUGUACUGGUCUCACUGAUUCCUCCUUCCUGAUGAACUGUAAUGCCAUUAAUUUGGUGUUGCGGGAAAUCAGGACUGUUACUUUGAAAAAAUUAGAGUGUUUAAAGCAGGCUCACGCUUGAAUACAUUAGCAUGGAAUAAUGAAAUAGGACGUUUGAUUCUAUUUUGUUGGUUUCUAGGAUCGACGUAAUGAUUAAUAGGGAUAGUUGGGGGCAUUAGUAUUCAAUUGUCAGAGGUGAAAUUCUUGGAUUUAUUGAAGACUAACUACUGCGAAAGCAUUUGCCAAGGAUGUUUUCAUUAAUCAAGAACGAAAGUUAGGGGAUCGAAGACGAUCAGAUACCGUCGUAGUCUUAACCAUAAACUAUGCCGACUAGGGAUCGGAUGAUGUUAAUUUUUUAAUGACUCAUUCGGCGCCUUACGGGAAACCAAAGUGUUUGGGUUC
rnacentral:sRNA from 1 species